rnacentral:lncRNA from 7 species
GCAAGGGGAUGUGACCAGCAGAGGGGAUGCGACUUGACAUGGAAUUCCAUUUUCUCAAAGGAUAUCUACCAGAAGUUAGGAUUCACAUCGCAAGGGACAAGUACUGCAAAGGUGUGUGAAAGCCAAUGCUCAGUUGGACAAAAUAUUUUCCUCAGUCGCAGCCACCCAGACUCAGUCUGUAGCCUUGAAUACAGGAGCACUGUCCCAACAAAUUAGAGCAACAGCUUCCAGGGGGUAAUAAAGGAUAAAACAUCGCAAACAGUGUGUGGCAUGGUGUGCAAUGCUAUUUACACUCUUAACAUUGCUUUAUGAAAAGUUGUUCAAAAUCUCUUAAUAUUCAAUGUGCAAAAAUAUUUUUUAACGUCCAGUUACAUAUGCUGAAUAAUACCUGGCUUUCUAUUUUUUUCCUUUAAUCAAAUAUUGCAUAGAGUUUUUAUCCAUGAUCACAGAGAGAAACUGGAAGCAUAUUCUAAGUGGUAAGAGACUACUUCGUGUAGGUUAAUUAUUACCUUUUUUAAAUGUGCAGCAUUAAUACAACUAAGGAUGGAGUCUAGUCUACCAAAUAGAAGUACUUUCUGUGCAGUUUCAAUCCCCUCAUGACACAGCUACAUCUCCAUUCACCCAUAAUUUUGACUAUUUCACCUUUAUGUGCUAAACAAUCAUUUUUUUGGUGAGAGCUGACUUUGUUUAUCAUGAAAUGAAGAAAAUGGUUCAUUUUUCUGCACUAAGUGUGGCUGGAAAAAAAUUUGUUUUGUUUUGAAUGUGUUUUCUGUGGGGACAGGAAUGGCUUGUUUGUAGAUAUCUACUAUGAUAGAACACUAUUUCCUGUUAGCAUCUAUCACAUUCUUCCAUCAGUCUAAAAGUAAUUUUAAGUGGUGACUGAUAAUGAUGGUUAUGGUGUCAAAAGCCGGAAGGUAAGGUGUGUUUGUAAUUAGCUGUCAUCAUGUGGAUCUUCCUUGGGGAUUUUUCUAGGAGAGCCUUUUUUAUUUAAACAGAUUAUGAGAUUUUGAAGAUCACCUGCUGCAAAUGUGUUGUAGAUUUUUCAUGAAUGUUUUUAAUAAAAAUGCAAUGUACGCAUC